AAUGUAGUGUUCAGGAGAGAGGUGGUUUGCCUGUCCGGUGAUUGUCCAAGUCCCCAUGAUCGGGGCUAGAGUCCGCAGAGGGUGUCAGGCCCGUAGUGACGCGCCGCGACCGUGAACACUUGAUCUCCUAAGAGUCGGGUUGCUUGAGAGUGCAGCCCUAAGCGGGAGGUAAACUCCUUCUAAGGCUAAAUACCGCCACGAGACCGAUAGCAAACAAGUACCGCGAGGGAAAGUUGAAAAGAACUUUGAAGAGAGAGUUCAAGAGUGCGUGAAACCGUUCAGGGGGUUAAACGGGUGGGCCCUCGAAGGUCGAACGGCAUCUACUCCCGUUACCUGCAUACGAGCCUGCGCUAGGACGAGUCGCAUUCUGCGGCCGCCGAGUGUGGUACGCUUGGGGCGUGCAGGGACCGCUAGUUGGAUGCCUAGUAGGACUCCGCAACCGGCUGGGUUCGGUCGUCAGACGGGUCUUCAGGGUCGGCCUCCUUGUGGGGUUGUAUCUUGGAGAUUCCCGGCGAUCGCUCGGCCGUUGGGUGCUUCCUCGCUGUUUCCUCCGGGCGCGCGAGCGUUUCCCACUUUUUGCCCGAUCAGGGUGAAUGGGGAGCGUUGUCGGCGUGUUCGAGGCUCCGGUGAGUAGCGCGGAGAGUAGGUCGGGUCCCACCCGACCCGUCUUGAAACACGGACCAAGGAGUCUAACAUGUGCGCGAGUCGUCGAGUUGUAUGAAACUCGAAGGCGAAAUGAAAGUAAAGGCUUGGGGUGCCGAGCUUGAGGGGAGAUCCCGUUCUGCUCCGGUAGCGCGGGCGCAUCCCCGGGGCGUCUAUACUGCGUUGCCAGUCAGACGAACCUAGAGCGUACACGUUGGGACCCGAAAGAUGGUGACCUAUGCCUGGCCAGGACGAAGCCAGGGGAAACCCU
rnacentral:rRNA from 1 species